CUAUCGUUUCCCGGUCGCUGAAAAACAGCGAUCGGGUUUCGCAGCCCGGGUA
rnacentral:ncRNA from 1 species